CCCGCUGAACUUAAGCAUAUCAAUAAGCGGAGGAAAAGAAACCAACAGGGAUUGCCUCAGUAACGGCGAGUGAAGCGGCAACAGCUCAAAUUUGAAAUCUGGCUCUUUCAGGGCCCGAGUUGUAAUUUGUAGAGGAUGUUUCGGCGCGGGCUCCGGUCUAAGUUCCUUGGAACAGGACAUCAUAGAGGGUGAGAAUCCCGUAUGUGAUCGGUUGCCUUUGCUAUGUGAAACUCCUUCGACGAGUCGAGUUGUUUGGGAAUGCAGCUCUAAAUGGGAGGUAAAUUUCUUCUAAAGCUAAAUACUGGCCAGAGACCGAUAGCGCACAAGUAGAGUGAUCGAAAGAUGAAAAGCACUUUGGAAAGAGAGUCAAAAAGUACGUGAAAUUGUUGAAAGGGAAGCGCUUGCAACCAGACCUGCCUGCAGUUGCUCAUCCGGGCUUUUGCCCGGUGCACUCUUCUGCUGUCAGGCCAGCAUCAGUUCGGGCGGUUGGAUAAAGGUUUCGGGAAUGUAGCUCCUCUCGGGGAGUGUUAUAGCCCGUUGCGAAAUGCGGCCAGCCUGGACUGAGGUCCGCGCUUCGGCUAGGAUGCUGGCGUAAUGGUUGUAAGCGGCCCGUCUUGAAACACGG
rnacentral:rRNA from 1 species